GGUGACGGGGGGGGGCGUCUGGGGUGGGGGGGGGCGAUCCCCGCGUUAGCUGUGUCCCUCGGACAUGUCGCACCUUCCGGCCCGGAGGCUUGUGGCGGCGGUGAGGGGCUGGCGCGGCUUCUCAGUUUGCAAGUCAUGUGCUCUCCGAAGAUUUUCCAUCCAGCCUGCCCAGCAGAAGAAGAUUCCAAACCGGUAUUUGGGCCAGCCCAGCCCCUUCACACACCCACACCUUCUCAAACCAGGAGAGGUAACUCCAGGAUUGUCACAGGUGGAAUACGCUCUUCGCCGACACAAACUGAUGGCACUGAUCCAGAAAGAAGCGCAUGGCUGGGAUGGAUUGGACCACACAGUGAUUCUGCUAUCCAACCCCACGUACUACAUGAGCAAUGACAUCCCCUACGUUUUCCACCAGGACACUAACUUCCUCUACCUCUGUGGGUUCCAGGAGCCUGACAGCAUCCUGGUGCUGCAGAGCAUUGCUGGCAAAGCGCUGCCUUCCCACAAAUCCAUACUUUUUGUACCCCGGAGAGAUCCAAGCCGGGAGCUGUGGGACGGGCCCAGAUCAGGCACAGAUGGGGCAAUCGCUCUCACAGGAGUAGACGAAGCUUACACCAUCGAGGAGUUCAGGCAUUUGGUGGCCAAGCUGAAAGGUGAGUCAAACAUUGUUUGGUAUGACUUGACGAAACCAGUGCAUACAGAGCUGCACUCUGACUACAUGCAGCCCCUGGCUGAGAUAAAAGCUCGGAACAAAAACCACAUCCAGGGCAUCCGACAUCUAGUGCAAAACCUUCGGCUGAUCAAAUCUCCUGCAGAGAUUGAAAGGAUGAAGAUAGCUGGACGGGUGACAGCAGAGGCUUUCAUAGAGACAAUGUUUGCCAGCAAAUCCCCAGUGGAUGAAGCCUUUCUGUAUGCAAAGUUUGAAUUCGAGUGCCGGGCUCGUGGUGCUGACAUCUUGGCCUACCCUCCUGUUGUUGCUGGUGGCAAUAGAUCAAACACUUUGCACUAUGUGAAGAACAAUCAGCUCAUCAAGGAUGGUGAACUGGUCUUGCUAGAUGGUGGAUGUGAGUCUUCCUGCUAUGUAAGUGACAUCACACGCACCUGGCCCGUCAAUGGAAGGUUCACCAAACCCCAAGCAGAACUAUACCAGGCUGUCCUGGAUAUCCAGAAGUCCUGCCUGAGCCUCUGCUUCCCAGGCAUGAGCCUAGAAAAUAUCUACAGCCUCAUGCUGAGCCUUAUUGGACAGAAACUGAAAGAGUUGGGGAUCCUGAAGAACAGCAUCACUGAGAGCCACUUCUUCAAGGCUGUUCGAAAGUACUGCCCACAUCAUGUGGGCCAUUACUUGGGCAUGGAUGUUCAUGAUACCCCAGAUAUAUCCCGAUCGCUCCCACUCCAGCCAGGCAUGGUGAUAACCAUUGAACCAGGCAUUUAUAUCCCUGAGGACGAUGUGAGUGCGCCAGAGAGGUUUCGUGGCAUUGGUGUGCGCAUAGAGGAUGAUGUUGUGAUAACAGAGGAUGCGCCUCUCAUCUUGUCUGCUGACUGUCCCAAGGAGAUCUACCACAUGGAGCAGAUCUGUGGCCGCAGCUCAUGAUGUCCCUUCUCUGCCUCUUGCAUCCUCCUCGGGAGACGCAGCCCUCCAGUGAUGCAUGCGAUCCCUGUAGCUGGCUGUAGUUGUCAAGCGAUGGAGGGUGUGGACAAUUGAUGUCUGUUUCCAAGACUGGGGCUGGGAAGUGGAAUGCAAAAGGCUUGGGUACUGAGGAAUGAAAAAGCAAAGCAACCUUUUCUGUGUGCAUUUUCCUUCUGAUUUGAUUAGUGCUGGUGUUGAGCUGUUGUAGGACAUGGGGGUGGAUUCAUCCAUCUGCUGUGUGGAUCCAUCUGUUGUGGUGCCCUUGGAGGGAUGAAUUUUGUCGGUGCCACCAGCAGGGCUUCUGCCUGGUCCCUCUCCAGAUGCAUAGGUACAACUGCUAAGACCGAAGUCCGAUUUUUUCCCCUUUAGCAGUAGUUUCACAACAGUCAAAUUUUGAAGAAUGAAGCUUUGAUAAAUGCUGUUUUGGGGCAAUAAAAGUGUGUCAUACAGCUUUGAUUUUUACAGAGCCCUGGAAGGAGGGGGUUUGGUUGGGAGGUAGUUAUAACUGAAGCCUGUGGAGAGCACUUUUAGUAUUUUAAGGAUAAGGAUGUGUUUGGGCCUUGUUCAGACCUAUGCAAAAUAGGCCAGCAGCAGGGAAAAUCAUCUCAUCUGGUCUUUCAGCUUACUUGAAUGUUUGGUAAUUUCAGAAAGGACAGAUAGGGCUCAGGAGGUUGGACACACCCAUUCUUGCUGUCUUCCACAUUCCCUUCUUUUUGUCCCAAAUGUCCAUUCCAGUUCUGAGCCCAGUUCUACCCUGGGAAGCAGGGCUGUGUUGGCUGUGCUGGACUCCACUGGUGAGCUGCUGGUUGUCACCUAGAUGUGAGGUGUCCGCUUCUGGGACAGUCACAGCACCUUUCUGGUUUAUGCUAGGUGGAUAGUCAGAGUAUCAUCUGGGACCUACACACAUGCUGCAAUGUCCCUUGAAUACAACCAAAUCCAUGAAGAUUUUACAUGACCUUCAUCAAGAAACUCUAAAGAAUCCCGUCUCUGGCUGCACAUUCCUGUGGUUUACCUCCCCAGUCGCCAGUCCCAUCCUGCCAGAUUUACGGUCUGUCUCUGCCACGGAAGAGGUUCCUCCCUCCAAACACAUGGGUGCAGGAGCAGCUCUUGGUGGCAGCGCAAGUUGCCAGCUGCUUGAUGGAGGCGUUGGUGGGAUCACUGGAAGUGAAAGAGAAAUUGAGGUAUAUGCAAGUUAACUUGGGGAGAGAUUUCAUUCCAACAAUGGCACAGGUCUUAAGGGCAUCAGAGUAUGAGAGAAAAUUUUCAAAUGAGAGCUGCCCAUCCCUGUGGAGAAGUUGCUUUGCUUUCAGAGGAAGUCCAGGAGGCUUUUCUCGGCUUUCCCAUUUCACCUUCUACCAGGGGCCUGCUUUGCCUUGCAGAGAACUAGUUGGUAGGAAAGUCCUGUUGUUAAAGUACAGUCUGAGCAGAGGUGCUAAUUUGCAGAUAUGCUUCUGUCAUCAAAGUGGAAAGAAAUUUGGCAUUUAAUGCAAUUUGGCAUUCUAUCUCUGUUAUCUGUGAAAAAUACAGUAUGUCUUUCCUAAAAUUGCAUUUGUUAUUUUGCAAAGGAACCUGAUGCUGUAGGAAGAAGCAAACUGAGGGAGCACAUAAAAGAGAAUGGAGAUGGAGGGGUUUGGGAAUGUACAGUGCAAUAGAGAAGAUUCAGAAGGGUGUCAUUUGGAGCUGUGGGGAUGCGUGCAGGUGGAUGUGAGAGCAAGGAGAGAAGAACAGGGUAUGAAAUGGCUAUUCAGUAUGUUGUCAGAGUGGUGCAAUAGCUCUAGGAAACUGGUUAUGCUAACCAGGAGACCCUGAUUGAUUUGUCCUGCUCAGGAGGGGGGAACAAGGGAGUCGGAUUGUAUUGAUGAACUUGGUCUUAACAGUUAGUUUAAUUAUUUCCUUUAAAAAUCAAUAGAACUAUCAUAUGAGAAAGUUUUCUGCAGUUUCAUGUUAUUGAUCAUGUGUCAUAUUUUAAAUAAUGUGAAGGGGAAAAAGUAUGUUUCUAGGCAAAAUCUUCAUUAUGAUGGAGGGAGCAAGGCUGAGUUUACGUGCUCUUAUACUACCCAAAUUGCUGCUAUGGAAAUUUAGUAAUUACUCCCAGGAGAAUUACCAUAAAGCAAAAAGAGUUAGGGUUAAAUUUAGAAAAAAAUCUAUAUGAGAUAAAUGACAAAAAUGCCUUAAUGAUGAUGAGAUGCUUAAUACUUUGUGUAAUUGGAUAACAAAACUCUGCACUGCAAUAAAUUGACAUUUUUUGAUUUCUUUUAAACUGAGUUGUCUAGGACCCUAUAUAGGCAUCUCUUCAUUAGUAUGCAGAUCUAAACUGCAUUUAAGUUUAUAAUUUUCUGAGAUCAUUACAGCAUCGCUGUUAUAUGUGCUCCCUACAUGCACGCUCAGCCUCUACUUGAUUAAAAAUCAUCAUUUGGACACUUUCAAAAUGCUGGCUCUAGGAGUGGGUCUGACUUACACAAUUUAUUAUAUUUCAGAGGUGUAACAAUAACUUACAUUUUAAAGCAGAAUUUAUAAUCAAAAUGGAUAGUGAGGCACGGUGGGCUCAAUGGCGCUCAAUUUCUCCCCUCAGCUCCUUUCACCUUCUUGGAGUUUUUCUUGCUGUCUUAACUGGCUGCCAGCUCUAAGCCUCCCUCGCUAGCAGCAAGCGGAGCAAUGAACUCCUAUGUGCUGGGACAAGUUGUGCCUCAGCCCACCCGGUUGUUUCUCUGAAGCACCACCUGAUAUUUGGCUAACGAAAACCAGACUCUUCAGAAGACGGGCAGAAAGGAACAAGGAAGAAUUGGCAGGUCUUCCACGUGCAUUACCUUCUCUUGCUGACUCAUACUGCGUAUGCCUUUUUAACUUACCAUGACAGAGUUAUCCAUUAACAAUGGUAAAGAAAAAAAAUAAUUCCUGUCUAGGUAAGCCUGAUGACUAGAUCUUUGAGCAAAGAAAAAUUUAACAAGAAAGCUGGUUGUAGACCCAGGAGUGAGAAUGGCUACCGUAGGAUUCAGUAUGUUCCUUCUCCUUGGAUGAUGGGGAAACAAGUAGCACUGCAGGAGCGAUGUGCAGUCUUGGUUUGGAAGCUUCUUGGGAAUGCUGGUCUCAGACAUGCUGUGGUGGGCCAGAACUGACAGUGGUUGAAGCUCUGUGUUGGUUUUCUCAAGACCGUGAAGAGCCUAUGGCUUUUUAAAGGAGUUUCUUUUUUUCAUGAUUUGGGCAGAAUAUCAUGGCAGCAGAAGGUGGGAACACUCAGCUUGUCGUUCAGUGAUCAACUAGGAGAAGUUGGCAGUCCAGCAAAAACUGGUUGAAAUGCAAUUCUUUCCAGGGAAAUAGGCUCACUGCGGGGUUUUUUGUCAGUAAAUUGGGCCAAUAGGAACAAUACUGUGUGAGGAGGAGGGAGGCUCAGCUUCUUUUUAUUCCUAGGCAGAACAAGGCUUCUGCCUCUGUGUCUCCUUUUGAGAGAUUAAUGCAAAAUGGGAUUGGCCACUGACCCAAGUUAAGAUUAAGCAGUCUGACUCUUGUCCCAGGAAACAGUUAGCAGAUGUCAGGUAACUUCUUCUCAUGUGAAUCUUUUACUCAGAAAGGUAAUGCUUUAAGUUUGGGGAUAAUGUACUUUGUUUUUUCUAGUCUAAUGUGCACACAAAGGGCAACACGUAAUAUCAGUUUUGCCUCUGGGAGCUACAAGCAAUACCUCUGUAAUUAAUGGUAUUGCAUCUCGGUCGUGGACAUGUUUGCCAGCAUUGUGGUCGUUCAGAGAAAGGGCAGCUGUUAAUGGUACAGAAGGGGUGGGGGGGUCAGCUUUCUCAGCGCGGGUCUCUUACCAGGCUACAGAAGCAGGCAAAUGAUACUGCCUACGAACGCCCUUCCGUACCCCCUUUUGGCAGGCCAAUCGUUUCCAUUUAGUGGCCUCUGUGAAGUUUGUCAUUUGCAUUGGCAUUUCUGUGCUGUUGUCCUAACGUGCCAUCAGGAUCCCCUUUUGAUCUGAUAACCACUUAACGUUUUUAACAUCGCUUCUUGGAUGGACAAGGUUUGGUGUGGCAUCAGGGAUUAGGAGAGUUACGCUCCCUCAGCUCAGUUGCACGUGUCUUCUCGUUCUCAGAGGGGCAGAGAGAUGCGGCCCCACCGACAGCUCAGGAAUCUCCAGUCCUGGCGUCCCCACGCAGCUGCCCCUGUCACGGAGGCCUUAAAUCUCCAACUGUCCUUCUAAGCGUUCUCCCUCCGGACUUGCAGAGGUACAAGCCAGCAGCCGAAGGAGCCGUAGCCUCCGGUGCGCUCAUUGCGCUGACCUCUUACUUGCUGUCAGAUUCCGUAAGGUACCGCUGAGGUUCCUGUGAUGCAUUGCGGAUAUCUGGUAUGUAUAUCGCUUUCUAAUUUAUGCUUUUACCCUGUUCUUUUUUUUCCAGGAGAUAAGCUUUUUAACAGCUACAUCGGUGUUACUGUGGUGACUGUAACCAGGCAAAAACAUACAGUUCGUAUUGAGAUAGUUCUACAUUUGUGGACUUGGAUACGAUUAGGAGAUUUUUAAAGGCACGCUGUGUUUUUUGCCCUUCGCUGCAGAACAGGGAGAGGUUUCUCAUGAACUUUCAGUUUCACACUAUAAAGUGGAAAGGUAUGAUUCAUCUUCAGAAGCAUGUGUGUAUUAGUCGAUAUAUGCAAACACACGCAUAUUAUGCAAACAAAUGUUGUGACUUCUAGCUAGUUAGAGAUUUAGAAGAGAUUUUCUCCAAGCAUAAUUAAGAUUGUUUAGAUAUUUGACUCUUCAUUUCUUUAUGCUUUAUUUGGAUUUCUUGUUAAAUUUGAUUUUACCUUAGAAUUUCCAAGGUUUAUAAUUCUUGCGGUUUGAAUAAUUGCAUUAUCUCUGUAAUAUAUUUUACUGCAAAUCACAGCCACGUAACCUUAACCUUGCCUCCAUCUUCGAGGGUUUUUUCAGUUUUAUAAUGUAAUUUCCCUGCAGUAUGAGGCUUUUGAGGAGACAGCAUUCUGUGAUUCUCACCUGAGGAGUGCCUUUCCAAAAAAGCCCCAACAGGCACUAUAGGGAGGAUGAGGAGCAACUUCAUAUGUUUAAUGAACAGCUUGGAUACCUGCUCUGGGUUCAGUUUAGCCUUGACAGUGGAACGGUGACUGUACUUCUAUAAAAAUGUCUACGGCUCUGAACUUCAUCUCCUCCUUCAGUUGCAUUUCUCAGGGUCCCCAGAGCUGCCCAGUGGGGCCAUCCAUUCACAGUUUAGCAAGGAGAGCAAACCCAGAAGUACAAAGAACCAGAGAGGGAAGGAAGAAGAUAAGCGAUGAAGAGACAUACGCGUCGCAUGACUCUCUUCUGCUAGAAAAGGUCUUGGACACGUACACACACACACACACACACACACAAAAGAAAAUCAAGUCUUCCAGUAAAUAGUGCAAUCUCCUUUUUAUCCUUUUUUCCCCAGUACUUAAUAUAAUCAUUGUAUGUUUAAAAAAUUAAAUGUAAAGUUGCAAAAGGGGCUGCAAAGUGACUCCUCUGGACCUGGAUCCGUACUACACUGGGGCCUGCCCCCCUUUUUGCCACCAUGUCUGUUCCCUUAAAAUAAGCAAUCGUGCAGGACAUGAGCAUAGUCCAGAUGUUAUCUGUCUUCCAUUUAUUCCCUGAAUCACCUGGCUUUGCAGAGCUUAGACUACUCGUGCCAACGCAAAGUGAAAGAAAAAACCCAGAUCCUGAAGAGUAAGUGCAAAGGAGAGAACUGAGUCAUCCUGUGAAUCGAGGUUGCCUGUUAGGUUACAUUCUGGACUCAGGAUUGGGGGUUUUAGAAAAGGCCCAUCCUCGAAACUCUCUGUGUGCUGUUACUUUUGAUCACUUUAACCUCUUCAACAGCAAAGGUCUUCCCUUGAAAUCCUCAAUGUCUGGUUGCUGCUCUUGCUUCACAUUUGAAGUCUAACGGGCACAAUACAGGUUUCAUGUACCUCCAACUUUUUUCCAUCCCACUUGGUAAACCUGUACUGAUCCAGCUAGAGUGUAUCUAACAGGCAAUAAACAUACUGCGGCAGGAGAUGUUUCCAUCCUGUCACCCGAUGUUUUCAGAACAACGUUUCCAUUGGAAAGCUUGCUCCAGAUUGCAUGCUGGAAGAUACGAAUGCCACUGAGCGUCGUUAAAAGAAGGGGUGACCUUUUACAGGGUCCAUAACCUGGAUUUGCCCUGAAAAAAGUUUGGAGAAGGUCUGGAGGAGACUGACCCAGGCAGCCUAUCCCAACCCCAAGCAGUGACCAGGAGGAUGUCUCCGUGAGAGCUUUAUUCCGUGCCUGGAGGAGAAGGGGUGUGAGCCUGUGUACAGCCAGCCCUGCACAGCGCCAUGUGCUUUUCUGCAUGCUGCCUUUUCCAUUCAAAAGGGGAAGUAGAUACACACCGACUUUCCUCUUUUCCGUAACUAAUCCAAGAGAAGUGACCGGGUUGUGUAGCACUUGCAGACUGAGCGCGCAGUGAUGGGCAGUCUCUGUUGCUUAUUUUGAAUUCAUUAUUUCCUCUCUCUUUUCAAGUCAGUCGUAUCAUUAUUUUGCUCCCAGUGUGCCUUGCUCCAUUUUGAAUUUUGCUCUGCUCAGCCUCUUCCAUUCGGUCUCUCGUAACCUGCUCAUGCUGCAGAGUAUUAUUUCAUUUUAUCUGGAGGUGACUGGACUGAUGAUAAUUUUUAAUCUGUUUCAGGAAGUUUUUAGAGGUCGCCAGUGUCAAGGAACAACAGUUUGCAUUAUCUCCUUUAUUAUGUGUGUUAUUUUUUUCAAAAGAGUGUUAUUUAACAGCCACAUGGCAACUAGAAGCAUUUGUGAAAUUUAUGUUUGUUGCAGACGUCAUAUCCUCUUCCCCCAACUUUGAAAUAGUUACAUAAAUUAGAAGAUUAAAAACAUUUUUUUACUAUAAAAAUCUGAGGCAAGGUGGAAGUUGAUUCUUUAUUUCUAGCUUUUUUUAUUCAAGAAACAUGUUUAUAAAAAGAACAAAAUGUUAAGUAGAAGAUGAACUGAUUUAGAAAAGUUAACAAUAUGAAUUGUAAUUAAUUUUGUAACUGUUUAAUAUAUAAAAGUUUUAAAGUGUCCUUUUCCCUGCUCCCAGGUGUAAAAUCUCCUGAGUUAAUAGCUGAGAUUAGACCAGUCUUGAUCUGGCGUGGUCCACUCUCUGACUGGAAGAAUGAUUCCUGUAUGGUCUGCUAUUGCAUAUCAUACCCUCAGCUGAUUUUCGUAAAAAGGCCAGCCGAGGUAUUGCUGAGCCUGUGGAAACAGGAACACUUGUUCCCGGCGUUAUCCCAGCAGUGGUUUAGCUGGUAGGGUAGGACUUUUGCUCCUGUGAAUUCCAGUCUUGAUGGAAGUGACUGAUGUUCCUGACAUGCUCUAACGAGUAUGUGAAACGUUAAGUAUUAACGAUGCAUUCGAGUUAUGGCAAAAAUGUCUCCCAGCUGAUCUGGCCACUCGAAGGACCGUUCUCCACGUGACUGCUGCUGGCUUAGGUGGAUAUAGUGAGACUAGAAGCUCUACAAGAGCUUUUGCAUAUGGGGCCGGAAAGAAACUUCCAUUCUGUGAGAAAGUAAGUUCUUUUUUGCAAAUCUCUAUGAAUGUGCUAGCACUAAAGGCAGAAGCUACAAUUCCCCUUUCAAUUAAAAUACUCAAUGUUAAAAUAAAAAGACACUUUCUUUAAUUAUUCUGCAAUUGUAGAGUCAAAAUAAACUAGCACAAUGGUUUUAGCCUAAUGUAUGCAGUGUUCGUGGCUUCAACCACUCGUUACUUGGGCAGUUUGUAUCUUCUUAGGAAAAAAGACUUGAAAGAUUUGACCCUUGACUGCUUCCCAGCAGUUUUCUGUGCAUUAUAGUAAAUAAAUAAAAACCUGUUGCCUCUUUUUCACACUCUUUCCCUGACUGUUCAGAGAACAGAGUGUCCUCACUCUGGAGCCAAAGCCAACACACAAAUACACACGCUGCCCUGUGCACCUGGGCUUUUCCAUGUAACUGGAAUAAAGCAUGAAUAUUCAAAAUACUGUUACAAGCAUCGGUGCAAAAAUAACAUAAAUACUGUUGUUCACAGCCAGUCUGGAGGAGUUCUUCAGACUAUCGUGAGCAGUCCACUGCAUAGCCAUUGUGUUUAGAGGAUGGAAAGGUAAUUGUACUACUGGCGUUCAGGUUCCGUGAACUUAAACUCAGAGGCAGUUUAUACCAGGUGGGAUGGAGGACUCGCUUUCAUCUCAGAGAAACAUAGCCUUGAAAAUUAUUUUGGUGACAUACACCUGUGAAUCAGGAACAGAGAACAAAUUUUAACCUUGCAAAUUUGUAUACAUCUGUUAUUUCUGGUCCUGGAAAUAGUUUGAUUUUUUUUUUUUAAUAUAGUUUUGGAUUUGCAGAGGGAUGGUUUCAACAGAGUUCCCUGUUAGUUACAUUAGUGUUUUAUAGGCUGCUCAUGUAAACUCUUGAGCUUUCAUGGCUCUCAGUAUUAGCUUUUUAAUAUAACACAGUUCAUAUUGGCUUUUAUUGCUGUUUAAUUUAGGUUGGGUUUUUUAUGUGGCUCCUCAGCUGCAAGGAAUGUGGCCUACACUUGUUUGAAACUUUUCUUGUCUGUGUAAACCUGCUCUUGAUGUCCUUUUUUCUUGCAUAUUGUAACACUCUAAGAGCUAAACUUGUCUGUAUUUGUCAUGCAGAUCCAUUACUCUACAUAGCAAACCCAGAUCUCGUAUUACAGGUGGGAACCGAAAACUUUUAGGUAGUAGCUGGAAGUCUCUCCUACCUUUGUACUAUAUUUUGGUUGUUACACAGAUAAAGAAAUCCAUAGCCGAAUUGUCUAAAUAAAUCAUUCUUAGCAAAUAAUGCCUCUUAUUCAAAGGACACAUGCAAAUAAUUCCCAGCCAAAUGUUAGUUAUUGGCUUCUAAGUUCAUGUGCUUUUUGGAGUGAUCCCAAUAUCACCCUUCUCUUUUGGGCAUCUGAAAUUGUUUAAAGCAGUAUGUGGUUUCUCACCCUUCUAUAAGAAAAAGGCGAUUUCUAAAUAGGGUGAAGAAAAAUGUAAUUUAAAUAAAAGCGUAUUUUAUUUUGGAUAUUCAUGUUUAUAACAGCAGCUUUACUCAACGGAGAGAUAAUUUUCUACCUAAAAAGAUCCUUCUUAGCAGUUAUUCUAAGUAAAUUUGUAUGGACAAUUCAGAUAGUUUUAAAAACUCUGUAUAAGAUACUGAGAGGAGCAAAGCUUACGUUUUCACAAGUCUUAUGAAGACAGGAUGUUCUUUCUUGUGCACUAAUGUGUUUCAUCAGAAUUCCUGGGAAGCUGUCCAGCUAUACAUAGUAAAUAUUUCACAUACCAAUAAAGUGAUUCCUCAGCAAUUCAACCACUCAGCACGAAUGAGAUUUAAUUUAUAGUGAAUAUCUGCACCUGUUAAACAGUGAAAUAGGCUCCUGCCAUAAGUGAUCCUUUCAUGCUGUUAUUUAUCUAAAUUUUUAAAAAGGUCCUAUCUUUCUAGAUUAUAAUCUUUUAAAGAUCGUAAUUUCAAAAACAUUCCCAGGCCUGAAUUUUGAACUUUCAUAUUGAAGAGGGACUAAAUGUGGUUUUGAGCUAAAAUACGUAUAUGUAGGGUGAGGAUCAACACCAUCAAGGAAAGGCAUAAAAUGUGCCUAUUACUGAAUUAGGCAUUUGUUUUGUAUAUCUAAUGAUAAAAUCAAUGCAUGGCUCCGUCAGAGGAGAGAUCCAUCAGCCUCUAUCUUGCUAGCAUUCAAUCAGGAGAUUGAAUUUGCAAGCUUUGAGGGGGAGAAAUGUUUCUCCAUCUUUUGACAAUCCAUAUUACACUAAUUCGGACAGCUUUUACACAGAGCUGCACCAGUUUACUCGAGCGUUGCUUUCAAUAUCAUUUCAUUAAAUCAAUGCAAAAGGUUGUGUUGACCUUUUAAAUAUAUAUUUAAAUCUGAUCAGUGGAGCUUAAAUCGAUUAGGAACUGAUUUUAAGCCAACUCUUAAGGCAAGUAAGUGUGUCCACACAGGGUUCCUCAGCUGUUCAACGAAUUGAUGUGAAAUCCAAUUUAAAUUAAGCCGCUGCAAACAAACCGCUGUCGUGUUAUACGCGAGUCCCAAAUGUGCCCUCCAAAUUCUUUGAGAACUUUCUUUUUAACUUGAACAGAGAACCCAAGGGAGAUACAGUUAAUGGAGUGGAAUCUGCUCAUCCCUGUCAGGAAAGGAGGGGCGACUAAAAACCGCGCUGUAACUGCAGUGGACAAGACGGGUGGCAUCAGGAAUACCACCGCUCGCCUGACUCUGGCAGGAGGAAGCCUCCUCCAUAUCCCAGAGGCUAAAAAAGAUCCGAACAUGGAUUAUUCCUCUCUCCUGAAACCUCACCGAAGACCUUCGCAGGACUGUGGAGAAGCCCCUUUAUCUUCACAACCUUUUUGCUGUGUGAAAGAAGAGUUUUAAGGGCUCUUCCUUGGUUUCAGGCCCCUUUCUAACCAACGGCUGCUGUUUGAUGGGCAUUUGCUGCAGAAGCUGUCUCUGCCAGUCCAACCCCCAGCAGGAGAACGGUAUCUAAAUGCAAAGGCAUUCACGACAGAGAGCAGUUAAAUGCCAGACAUACUUGAAAUCCUGUCUUCUGAGAACUAUCUGAGUCAGAACAGUUUCAUUCCUGAGAGUGACCCAAGUGCCCCAGAGAGAUCCUGGGCCAUCGGUGUGCGCGCUGAGGAUGAGUCGUGAUAACAGAGGAUGCAUCCCUCAUCUUGUCUGCGGGGCUGGGACGCGGAAUGCAAAAGGCAGGGGCAGCGAGGACUGGAAAACAAAGCAACCUUCCCUGCACGCGUUUUCCUUCUGACUCAGUUAGUUCUGGGGGAUCCUCCUGCUGCCGUGGGGAUUCCUCCGUUCUGGUGCCUUGGAGGGACGAGUUUUGUCAGGACCACCACUACCAGACCUUCCGCCUGCUCCCCGUGUGGGUGCAGCCGUGAGAGCCGGGGCUGCAAGCAGCUGCCCCUCCAGCAGCACCAACACGGCAGCCCAGUCAUGCACACACGUUCAAAGGGUGCAUGUAUCAGGGUGGGGGGGAUAAAUCCCACAUAGGAAAAUGUUGGUGGCUGCAGAAAAAAAAAAAACAAACGCCAACAGAAUGAACGUAAAGGAGAAGGGCAAUGACCAAGAUGAAAGACACUGGUUUUGGAAGGUAAUUGCACUAGAGUCACCAGGUUGUUGUUGCCUUGCCUUUUGGAACAGCUUUUGACAACUGGGAGAGGGAGUUUGUCUCAUUUUAAUUGGGACUAACCGUAUUCAGAGCAGUUGUCAUGUGUCACCUAGUCUGUCUCCCUCCCUGCCUUUUCAGCUUGGCAGUCUUUUUCCCCUGCAUGUCCCAGUGAUUUGAAAAAUGAUCCAUUCUUCAAAGCAUCCCUGGCAAUUUGGACCACAGUGUUACAUUUCUUCUGAGGCUGAUGCUUUUCAAAGCUGCAGCCUUUCUUUCUGCAGCAGCUGCUGACACCUCUCUAUAACAUACAGCCUUAAGAGCGGGAAAACAGGACUGAGGGGCUGCACUUUUCCAAGGAGGAAAGAAAUCAGAGAUGGCACUAAAAUCAACAGAAAACAGAUUAUUUCAUGUACAGUAAAGAGGGUAGCUCAGACCUUUUUAUGAAGCGCAGGAGUAUUAGGGAACACCAUCACUAAUUUCACUUUGCGAAGCACGCUGGAGAUCUCUUAAUGCACUUCCUUCCCACUGUUGGUAUUAUGUAUCUGUUUACAUGAAUCAGUAAAUAUUAAUUAAGCAUGCAGACAUAUGUUCUAUUCUGCACCACGUUUGUCAUCUUUUUUCUGAAAACACCACACCUUUUUAGCAAGACUUAACUCAAGAUCUGCAUUGCUGUAUUCCUUUUGCUGCCAGGUACAGCAAGAUAUAUCCAGACCAUAUGAUUGCUGGCUGCAUGGCUUUUACCCAUUGGCAACCAUCUCCCCAUGGUGACAUCAGCUGAGGUGGGAAGACUAUAAUUUUAUAUUGCAGUAGUCAUUUAAAGUGAAAAUGAAUGUUAACAUUUCUCUGGUAUGCAUAUGCCCUAGUGUUCAUGUUUGUUCAAUGUCCUGGAUGCCUACUGAGUAAUGUCCUACUGGGGACAUUACCAUACAGAUUUAGGGUUAAAAUUAAUGUUUCUAUUAAAAAGAAAAUCUUGCAGAUUCUGCUUUGAAAA